rnacentral:rRNA from 1 species
GAUGAACGCUGGCGGCGUGCCUAAUACAUGCCAGUCGAGCGAACAGACGAGAGUGCUUGCACUCUCUGACGUUAGCGGCGGACGGGUGAGUAACACGUGGGUAACCUACCUAUAAGACUGGGAUAACUUCGGGAAACCGGAGCUAAUACCGGAUAAUAUUUAGCUUCGCAUGAAGCAAUAGUGAAAGACGGUUCUGCUGUCGCUUAUAGAUGGACCCGCGGUGUAUUAGCUAGUUGGUGAGGUAACGGCUCACCAAGGCAACGAUACAUAGCCGACCUGAGAGGGUGAUCGGCCACACUGGGACUGAGACACGGCCCAGACUCCUACGGGAGGCAGCAGUAGGGAAUCUUCCGCAAUGGACGAAAGUCUGACGGAGCAAUGCCGCGUGAGUGAAGAAGGUUUUCGGAUCGUAAAACUCUGUUGUAAGGGAAGAACAAGUACGUUAGUAACUGAACGUACCUUGACGGUACCUUACCAGAAAGCCACGGCUAACUACGUG